AUCGCUUCUCGGCCUAUUGGCUAAGAUCAAAGUGUAGUAUCUGUUCUUAUCCAUAUGGAGUACUGUGGGAUCGACGGGGCCGUCGCGACGCCGAGUGCUGUCUCGCCAAUAGGGCUUUCAGCACGGGCGUCGGGACGGCACCGGACGGGCUCACAGUAAAAUAAUGAAAAAUUCUAAACAAAUAGAUACAUCUUUU